AUGGAAGUGAUGAUUUUUUCCCCAGAUGAUUCGAAGCUGAAAUUACUGAGCGCUCUUUUGUUUUUCUCCUCUUGGAGAAAAUUAAGCCAGAUUUUCUGAUCCAU
rnacentral:snoRNA from 1 species